UGUAAAGGGGGGUGACUUACAGCUCCGAAGGCCACAGCUCCGGGGUGUUGUGGAAGCCAUCAGGCUGUAGAGAGGCAUCAAACAUAAUUGAAGUCAUUGACGUUUCCUCGUAACAUUCUCCUUGUCCCCUGCCGUCAUAUCGUAACCUUCCCAGUCGUCACCGCGUUGCAUCGAGUUAGUUUGCUCGUUGAUCACUUCUCUUGUCAUUUUUUCCGUACAUCUGAAAUUUAUGAGACUCGUUAUCUUCAUAUAAACCAUCAAACAACAGUGUGUUUCUUUAGUAUGUGAGCAAGUUGAUGCACAACAUCUCAAAGUAUAGGUGAAAUAAAUCUUUGACGUGCGUGAUUUAAAGUGACUUACUGCCGAUCGCUUCAACAUGAGGGUGCUAAUUCAGUCCACUUGGAGACUGACAGGCUUGAGGCAGGGCAGGGGCUGGGUGGGGCUGGCGGCCAGGUACAGGUGUGAGGCGCUGAUAAUCGCAGCCAGGUGUGUGGUUUUACUUAGCGAGGCGGAACAAGCUUUUAAGAUAAACUUUAAGAGCCUCGUGUGCGUGAGUGACGCCAGAAGUGAAGCGUUGUGUGACGGGAGGCAAGGCGCCUCGCUGCUCACAUCCAGCCACGGUGAUAGCGUGACAAAAAUCAAUGAGUGUCGUGCUGGAAGUGCUCAGGCCUGCACAGUGAGGCUGGUGAGCGUGGCCACUCCACUCAUAUGAUUGGAGAGUAUAGAAAAGUACUCAAGAAGAGUAGAGUAGUUGGAAGACUUACAACUGGAGACAAAUGGGAAGUGGAGCGUGGGUGGAGCGCCGUGAUAACGGCGCCGGUCAUGCCCCGAGGCGGGUACAUAUACUUGCAGUUGUCAGCUGAGCCGGGCGAGGCGGCUGUCGUCACGGUGAUCGUGCAGGACACCGUGGCCGCAGAAAGAUGGCCGUGACCAAGCUGGAGGGUAAUGAAGGACAGUAGGAGCAUUGUGGCCAGCAGGCGGCGGCGGGCUGGCCUAGGUGUCGUGAAGGGUGCCGAGAAAACAGAGGCGAGUUAUUUCUGUACCUUUGUGCGUGGCGGGCGGAGUGCGGCAGUGAAGGGGUGGGCGUGACAUGAGCCGUGCCACCUCUCCUCCCGCAGCGCCCCGUCUCGCCCAUCUGUCCAGCAGCAGACUCGCGAACUGCACUCUGAGUGUUAUCGGCCACUUAGCGAUGUGAUGUGCUUUAUGGGUCCCCGAAAAGUGUGCCAGUGGUGGCCUGUGUCCGGGCGGUGCCAAGCCCGAGAGCCACGUGGGGUUCUGGCGCCAGUGGGCCGCCCAUAGGGGUGGUGAUGGAUCACAGCCUCGUGGUGGAGGUGGUGGAGUGGCUCAGUUGUGAACAGACAGUGGAGGAAGGGGGGUGAAGUGUUGUGGCGCGAGGAGGAGGGAGUGUUGGGGUGAUGAAGCAACAAGUGUGUGAAAUGUGAGCGACCAGCGGUUGGUCACCCAUCGUUGCUGCAGUCAGGUGGCCUGGCCUCUCGCAGUUUUAUGUUGUGUCAAGGUGUAGUGACUCGCGUAAUCCUGGUGGAUAGUAGCGUCGCCUUGGAAGCCUCGUCGGCCCAGCCUUUUCACCGAAAACGCCCGCUGCAGUGAGUCCCUCCAGAGGCAGUAUGCUGUGAGGUGCCACCCGCUCGUGGCCCGGCCAUGGGUUAGCCUCCCCGUAAUGUAGGGGCCAUGGGAGAAGACGAUGAUACCCUGCUGCUGAGUGGAGACAUAUUGAAGUUAGGCCUGGGGAUUCAGCUCACUCUAGUCUGCUAUCUAGUGGCUCAGCCUGUGAUGGGGAGCGAUGGCAGUGUGGCUGAUAUGCAUCAUGGAUUCUGUUGGGGGUUUUGUUGGGUAAGUACACGUGCACUGCCUCCCGUCCUGUAGCGUGAGUCUGUCUGGCGGCGGCUUCAACACAGGUGAGGCAGAGCGGCCGGCCCUCCACCCGUACCCGGCCGGCCCUCCCCCUCGCCUGGCCGCCACUCACCGCCUAAUGUGUCGUCAGCGGUGAUGUCUUGGUCGUCAGCCUCCAUCGGCCAAGUAUUGACUGGGGGACACAUUGCCUCUGUUUGACACUUGUUACUGUAUAUGUUUGUAUUGGCGGAGUGAUUGCCUCGGUGAAAACAGACAACACAUUCUUAAAUAUUGGCUGUAGGACACGUUGCAGGCUUUUCGAUCAGUUGUUACCGUUCACUGGGCUUGUGUCGGCAUGAAUUAUCGGAAACAGGCCGACGGUCAGACCCCCAAUCAGUGUUGCAAGUGAAGUUUGUGAUUAGAUCUCGGCAGAUUUCGGUAGGAUAUUAACCAAGGGUGUUCUUUUAAAGUCUCGGCAAUAAUACAUAUCUGUUGUUCAUUAUGAAAGACGAGAAAAUGCAUAGUUUGAAUUUUGGGGCAUCGGUUUGUUCUCUCGUUGCCUCUGUGUUCACUCCCUUUCCUUCUCGGUUUUCAUAAAAAUUGUCUAUCACGCUAAUUACAAAAGAUGAGAAGCUCUAUAUAACAGUGUCAGAAACAUACUUUACGUUUUUGCGUUGCCACUGGGCUUCUUUCAAGUCAGUUUCUUAAUCAUCAUGGGUUUUCGCUUCUAAACUCAUUAAUGAAUUUCCUGAAUAUGAAGAAAUUUAUACACGACGUAUCAUGUUAGAGCAGAUGUAUGACUUGUUUGUAAAUAAAUGAUUA